rnacentral:rRNA from 1 species
GGGUUGAAAUGUAACUAAGCCGUCAUAAGCCUAAGAUGCCCUUAAGAUCAGCCUUAAGAUGAUCCUAACACUUCUGAUUAAUUUAACUCCACGAAAGCUAGGGCACAAACUGGGAUUAGAUACCCCACUAUGCCUAGCCCUAAAUCUUGAUGCUUAUUUUACCAAAGUAUCCGCCUGGGAACUACGAGCACAAACGCUUAAAACUCUAAGGACUUGGCGGUGUCCCAAACCCACCUAGAGGAGCCUGUUCUAUAAUCGAUAAUCCACGAUCCACCCGACCACCUCUCGCCAAAGCAGCCUACAUACCGCCGUCGCCAGCUCACCUCCCCUGAGAGUCCAACAGUGAGCAUAAUAGUCUAACCCACUAACAAGACAGGUCAAGGUAUAGCCUAUGGGGUGGAAGAAAUGGGCUACAUUUUCUAUAAUAGAAAACCUACGAAAGAGGGCGUGAAACAGCCCCCAGAAGGCGGAUUUAGCAGUAAAGCGGACAAUAGAGCCCCCUUUAAGUUGGCUCUGGGAUACGUACAUACCGCCCGUCACCCUCU